UACGUAGGGUGCGAGCGUUAAUCGGAAUUACUGGGCGUAAAGCGUGCGCAGGCGGUUUUGUAAGCCGGAUGUGAAAUCCCCGGGCUUAACCUGGGAAUGGCAUUCGGGACUGCAAGGCUGGAGUGCGGCAGAGGAGACUGGAAUUCCUGGUGUAGCAGUGAAAUGCGUAGAUAUCAGGAGGAACACCGAUGGCGAAGGCAGGU
rnacentral:rRNA from 1 species